rnacentral:rRNA from 1 species
AAUGGGUCAGCGACUUAUAUUCUGUAGCAAGGUUAACCGAAUAGGGGAGCCGAAGGGAAACCGAGUCUUAACUGGGCGUUAAGUUGCAGGGUAUAGACCCGAAACCCGGUGAUCUAGCCAUGGGCAGGUUGAAGGUUGGGUAACACUAACUGGAGGACCGAACCGACUAAUGUUGAAAAAUUAGCGGAUGACUUGUGGCUGGGGGUGAAAGGCCAAUCAAACCGGGAGAUAGCUGGUUCUCCCCGAAAGCUAUUUAGGUAGCGCCUCGUGAAUUCAUCUCCGGGGGUAGAGCACUGUUUCGGCAAGGGGGUCAUCCCGACUUACCAACCCGAUGCAAACUGCGAAUACCGGAGAAUGUUAUCACGGGAGACACACGGCGGGUGCUAACGUCCGUCGUGAAGAGGGAAACAACCCAGACCGCCAGCUAAGGUCCCAAAGUCAUGGUUAAGUGGGAAACGAUGUGGGAAGGCCCAGACAGCCAGGAUGUUGGCUUAGAAGCAGCCAUCAUUUAAAGAAAGCGUAAUAGCUCACUGGUCGAGUCGGCCUGCGCGGAAGAUGUAACGGGGCUAAACCAUGCACCGAAGCUGCGGCAGCGACACUAUGUGUUGUUGGGUAGGGGAGCGUUCUGUAAGCCUGUGAAGGUGGCCUGUGAGGGUUGCUGGAGGUAUCAGAAGUGCGAAUGCUGACAUAAGUAACGAUAAAGCGGGUGAAAAGCCCGCUCGCCGGAAGACCAAGGGUUCCUGUCCAACGUUAAUCGGGGCAGGGUGAGUCGACCCCUAAGGCGAGGCCGAAAGGCGUAGUCGAUGGGAAACAGGUUAA